rnacentral:tRNA from 1 species
GCUUUGGUGACCCUAGACGGUUCUGGGUCAGGACUUCAAAUCCUGGGGUGCUGAAAGGCACAGGCGUUCGACUCGUCCUCCGGAGCG